rfam:Stachybotrys chartarum IBT 40288 unplaced genomic scaffold scaffold344, whole genome shotgun sequence.
UUAGCUCUCUUUGCCUUUUGGCUUAGAUCAAGUGUAGUAUCUGUUCUUUUCAGUUUAAUCUCUGAAAGGUCUCUAAGGAGACCAAUCGUGAUUAUUCUUAUUUUUGUCAACCGGGUGGUUUCCGCUGUGCUUGCACAUGAUUCCGCCCACAGUGUCCCUGGUAUUACACUGCCUCCAGGCGACGCGAAUCCUU